UACAGAGGUCCCAAGCGUUGUUCGGAUUCACUGGGCGUAAAGGGUGCGUAGGCGGUCGGGUAAGUCUGACGUGAAAUCUCCGGGCCUAACCCGGAAACUGCGUUGGAAACUGCCUGGCUAGAGGAAUGGAGGGGAGACUGGAAUACUUGGUGUAGCAGUGAAAUGCGUAGAUAUCAAGUGGAACACCAGUGGCGAAGGCGAGUCUCUGGACAUUUCCUGACGCUGAGGCACGAAAGCCAGGGGAGCAAACAGG
rnacentral:rRNA from 1 species